ACGAACGCUGGCGGCAGGCUUAACACAUGCAAGUCGAACGGAUCCUUCGGGAUUAGUGGCAGACGGGUGAGUAACGCGUGGGAACGUACCCUUUGCUACGGAAUAACUCAGGGAAACUUGAGCUAAUACCGUAUGUGCCCUACGGGGGAAAGAUUUAUCGGCAAAGGAUCGGCCCGCGUUGGAUUAGCUAGUUGGUGGGGUAAUGGCCUACCAAGGCGACGAUCCAUAGCUGGUCUGAGAGGAUGAUCAGCCACACUGGGACUGAGACACGGCCCAGACUCCUACGGGAGGCAGCAGUGGGGAAUAUUGGACAAUGGGCGCAAGCCUGAUCCAGCCAUGCCGCGUGAGUGAUGAAGGUCUUAGGAUUGUAAAGCUCUUUCACCGGUGAAGAUAAUGACGGUAGCCGGAGAAGAAGCCCCGGCUAACUUCGUG
rnacentral:rRNA from 1 species